rnacentral:rRNA from 1 species
UACGGGGGGGGCAAGCGUUGUUCGGAAUUACUGGGCGUAAAGGGCUCGUAGGCGGCCAACUAAGUCAUACGUGAAAUCCCUCGGCUUAACCGGGGAACUGCGUCUGAUACUGGAUGGCUUGAGUUCGGGAGAGGGAUGCGGAAUUCCCGGUGUAGUGGUGGAAUGCGUAGAGAUCGGGAGGAAUACCAGUGGCGAAGGCGGCUCUCUGGUACGUGACUGACGCUGAGACGCGAAAGCGUGGGGAGCAAACAGG